UCGGGGAAGCCUGGCUGAGCAGCGCGGGGGAGGCCGAGGCGCUCGGUAACGCGGUGCAAUUAGCGGUAUAACCCGCGCCAGCGCAACCCUUGGUAAAGACAAAGCUGUAUGCAAAUCACCCUCCCCUUCCCCAUCCCCCGCUCCCGGGGUCUGACGCCGUUCCCCAGACUGUUUUUAAUGAUACGGUACGCGGAGUAACUUGAAAUUAAUUACAAGGUUCUUGACUAAAAGGCAGGGGGAGGCGGUGUCAUCCGGUGGGUUCGGUGCUCGGAGCUCUGGCCACCUGCGCGCGGCAGCGGCGGCCGGGCUGUGGAGCUCCGCUUGUCGGGCAGCCCGGGCCCGGAGCCCGGCGGAGAAGUUUGUUAAUACGACAUGUCAACGUUGCUGACUUCAGACUGCAGCACUUUUUUAGAAAACCAGACUGAAAAAAUUUCCCCAAACCUCCACUUAAUGGCACAACUGGUCUCGUCUCGGAACCGGACAGCCACUCCGAUGACAGCAGCAACAACAACAACAACUACAACAACUUAAUCCAUUAAUUGUAGCUGAUUCUUUUUUCGGCCGAGAAGAUACUUGUACCGUCUCUGAGUUUCAAAAAAGUAAGCAUCUGCUGUCAGUCUUCCGUCUCCCCCUUUGUUGCCGUGUUAAGGAGAGGACCUAAAUCUGCGCUGCCCAAAUGCGCGGGCGGUGGGCACGGGCGCAGAGGAGGAAACCCACGGCCACAGGCGCAGGGAGUGCUCGCCAUUCCCGCCCCCA